rfam:Hypholoma sublateritium FD-334 SS-4 unplaced genomic scaffold scaffold_5, whole genome shotgun sequence.
GUCAGUAUCGAUUAGUGGUUAAAUCACCUCGUUGUGGAUUUAGCUAUAUCCGAGGAGCCGUCAGUUCAAUUCUGGCUACCGACA